rfam:Trichobilharzia regenti genome assembly, scaffold: TRE_scaffold0014438
AUCCAGUUGACGAAUCUCAAAUAGGACGAAAUGCGCAUCCUCGCUGGAU